rnacentral:lncRNA from 1 species
AUACCAGUAGGGACAGACAGAGGACAUCAGUCUGAGGCCAGGACAAAUCAGCUCUCAAUCCUCUUCUUCUCUUCUUCCUUUCAGGUAUCAGUUUAUGGGAUGGAAAUGUAAGAUCUGCACUUUUCAGGCGUCAUCCAUAAACUAUCUACCAGACUAGCCUUCAGGUAAAAGCAGUGAUCACCAGGAACAACAGCAGCUCCAAAUCCUGUCUGAGGUUAAGAAGAAGCUCAGCAUUUGUGUUUAGAAGACAUGACAUCAUCAGUCUUCAGAUGAGCAUCCAGGAGAUGGUGGAGAGGUGGUCUUCCUUGUUUGAUGUGUCUGAGGUCAAUGCAGAGUUCCAGCAGAUCACCACAGUAAAUGUUGAGGCCAAAUUCAUUUCAACUGCUGUCCAUCUUCCAAGCUAAGAAAAGUGCUGCUGGAGCCUGACACCGUGCAAGAACUGAUGCUGUUCUCCAGAGUGGAGUUGCUGUUGAGAAAACCAGAGAAUUCUUCAUCUGAUGUCCCAUUGAUCACCCUGGG